CAUUUUGAAAUUUCUAUUAAAAUCCCAAGUUGAUUACUUAUUAUCUAUUUUCUCCAAGUGAUUAGUAGUAAAAUUCAUGAAAUGAGAAAGGCCCAGUUAAGAAAAAUCAAGGGUAAUAGGAGCUAUGAAGAUAUAUUUCACUCCACAGCCAAGUGGCGAAGGCAGAGGAAUUCUGAGGGGUGGAGUGGUUGUGACAACUCUUAUCAGCAAGCUCCUCUUUGGGCCCGUCUGACAAAGCUUAUCCUUUUAUCAAAGGUCAAAGGAGUACACUCCUUGUUUGAAGUCUUUCCCCUACCCACUUAUAUAUCCUUGGACAGUGAGAAUCAUUGUUUUUAUCUCCCAUAUCCCUGAGUUCUUAUGAUUUGCUUAUUUACUUUUAAAAGCAUCAGUGAGGGUCCAAUUUAUCAUUUUUUGUUGUUGUGCCCAAAACAUUUGAACUGACGUAACUGUCAAUAAAGCUUAAAAGAAUUAAGUAUGCACUAAAUACUUAGAUAUCAUUUACUGAGAAGAUAAGGAAAAGUGAAUGGAUUUCCUUGAAGGAGUGGA
rnacentral:lncRNA from 1 species